CCUACGGGAGGCAGCAGUGAGGAAUAUUGGUCAAUGGGCGUGAGCCUGAACCAGCCAAGUCGCGUGAGGGAUGAAGGCUCUAUGGAUUGUAAACCUCUUUUAUAAGGGAAUAAAGUGAGGCACGUGUCCCGUUUUGUAUGUACUUUAUGAAUAAGGAUCGGCUAACUCCGUGCCAGCAGCCGCGGUAAUACGGAGGAUCCGAGCGUUAUCCGGAUUUAUUGGGUUUAAAGGGUGCGUAGGUGGCCUGUUAAGUCAGUGGUGAAAGUUUGUGGCUCAACCGUAGAAUUGCAGUUGAAACUGGGAGGCUUGAGUAUGUUUGAGGUAGGCGGAAUUCGUGGUGUAGCGGUGAAAUGCUUAGAUAUCACGCAGAACCCCGAUUGCGAAGGCAGCCUGCCAAGCUAUGACUGACGCUGAUGCACGAAAGUGUGGGUAUCAAACAGGAUUAGAUACCCGGGUAGUC
rnacentral:rRNA from 1 species